GCACCAAGGUGUUGAGCUCAGAUCGAAAGGAAGACAUGUAAAUUGGCACACUUGACCUUUUCAUGAGAAGCAGUUUACCAGAACCAACAGAUAUGCGACUUUCAAGUCUAAUCGCAUGAAUCAAUUGCCAGAUUGAAGCAGGCUCCGAAGGAAGUGGAUACUCUCCCUCUUGAAGUGUCUGUACACCACAAAAGCAUUAAGUUGGCAAAGAUUUAUAACGGGUCAGAUG